rnacentral:snRNA from 1 species
UCGAUUCCCGGCUUGGACCC